rnacentral:ribozyme from 1 species
UGCCCAGCAACUCCUAUCCCUACCUCCUCGUGGUACUGGCCGGGGUACGAGUAACCUUGGGGAAGAUCGGGUACCAACCCCCGGUGGGAACUUUGGUCGUAUGCUGACAGGGAAGG